CGUGCCCUCGAUGCAAUUGCCCGCACGAGUCGUCGCCGAAAAAAGACGCAGCCGAUCCCUUCUCCCACCUUCCUGCCAGGACCUGCCGCCGCCGCCCUGCCCCGCCCCCGCCUCUGAUUCCAGCCGACGCCAUCCGCCCCUCGCGUCGGCCGCCACCAGCGCGGCUCCACCCCUGUCUCCCCCAUUGAUCCCCGCACCUCCUUGCCGUCCCCCCCGCGCGCGCCCCUGCGGCUAACCCUAGCCACCAACUCGUGUUGCGGGCACCGAGGAUGGGAGAGGGGCGGUCGCGUCGUUGAUGGGGUGGACCUGCUGGGGCAUCGCGGAUCCGACCCAUCUCUCGAUCCUAUCCUCCCCCGAUCUUUUUCCUAGGUCGUGGUUGUGGGAUGACGCCGUCGCCACCGCCACCAACGCGGAACCAGGCUUCCCAGCCUCCGGCAUCCAACCUCAGAGGCCUCCAUCGCCGCCGCCAUCGCUGAACCACAGGUCAGCGAGUGGUUGUGGGCCGACACCGCCACUGCCGCUGCCGUCGCGGAACCCCGGGGCAGGGCGUGGUCGCGUUGUGGGCAGCACGAGCGGCCUUGCCUCUCCCCCGUCAGUAUGUCCUCAGCAGCAAUUCGUGACCUCCUCCUGACAGAUCCAAGGCCGUGGCCUUUGGGGUCCAAGUCACUGUGCGCCAUGAGCCCUCAAGCAGCGCGUGUGUGGCCACUGCAUCAAGCAACGACCUCCACCACCAUCGGAAAUCCUCUUGAUGAAUGAAACCAAUGGUGAAGAAAGUUGUAAUUUCAAUCAAAGGACCAGGUUGCGCUGAGGUAGUGGUGUGGUCCCGAUGAUGACGGCGAGGUUGACCUAAUGAUAAGCUUGGGAGUUAUUAUUCUGUUUAGCGUCUAUGGCGGCGCUGCUUGCAACGACCAUCCAGGACCUGCACCCUUGAAUCCGACGAUGAAGCCAUAUGCGAAAAAUGUGAAGGCUGUCAAGAAGCUCCAUGAAGAACAUAAGAACUCAUUGGUAUAUAUGGGCCCCCAGUCUACUUAUUGUAGAUGUACUAAUUUCAGAAAGAUCAUAUGGGUGCAUACCAGUAUCAACUAUUAAGGGAGCAAAGUGAGAAAUAGAUGAUGGGAGAACGGGGGAAGAUAUAAAUGCCUUGAUUGAAUAAAUAAAUGGAGCAUUCAUGGAGCUUCACUAACGGAUAGCAUCACACUGUCGCCUGAAAUUGCAGUAGUGUAUACACCCAGGGCGCUUACAUGCCCAUGUCAGAGUUAAUGGAGGAUGAAGUGUGACCGUACUAACUCCUUGUGUGUACAACGACGUGUGCCAGUACUGUCUCCCUGACCGGCUCCUUUGGCUCUCCCUGUGCGGCAACGGCUCAAUCUCCGCGGUGCCGUCGGGGAGGAGGGGCUGGGGCGGCCGUGUCUGGUGCGCUCUUGCUACUCAUCGACCUUGCUGUUACUACCUCAUCCUUGAAGCCAUGGGUGCCCUCUAAUUUUCCCUUUGGAGUGUUCAAUGCAAACUGCAAAAGUAGAGCUGGUUGGCUGGCUAAUCAGCUUAGCUGUUGAUUUGAUCAGGGGAUAGCAUCUGAAGUGAGUAAACGGAAAGAACGUGAGCGUCCAAGCAGGAACUGCAAAUGCUCUAUUUUAGUCAAAGCAUGGGAAUGUGCCCAAGGGAAAGGUAUUUGUGUGAUUGAUCAGAACUACAUACAUAACAAUGCAAGGACACAAUAUAAUUGGGCAUUUUCAAGGCUAGCACAUGGAGCGGCAAAAGGGAGGAGGAGCUACCACGGAGGCUAGGUAACUCGAGGAUGUUCUAGAAUUAGUGUAGAAUAAGCCUGACUCUACAAGAAAAUACAUCGGAUAAUUAGGAAACAAGGCACUGACAAAAAACAAGAAAAUACAGAGACCAAAUACUUGAGGGGCUGCAACUCUGCAAGACUGAAAUUAACGAAAAGCUAAGCCUUUUAUUGUUUAGAUAAACAAACAGCUAAGUCAGUUGAGGAGUGAUCUCCGCAGCUCCCAGGUCACUAGAGGAGUCAAAGAUUGUCCGCUGAAAGACGGACAAGUGAUCAUGUUUUAUCAUUGUUUGAAAGGAGUAGUGGACGCGGAUGUAUGUAUAUUUUUCGUUCAAAGUAAUGGAAGUGCAAAUUUGUAUAUACUUUACUGGCAUUAUUUAGUGGAUUUUAUCAUAUUUAAUAAAUUGGAUUUUAUACUGU